AAAUGUGUAACUUCAAACGGUUGUAAAUAUUAACAUCAUCAUUUAUAAUUUAUGUUUAAAUGCAUACGAAGUCAUAUUUUUAUAAAAAGUAAUAUUAUUGCAUUUUCUUAGAACAGAAGUGCUUAUUACAUGUAGCAGGCAUAAGAUACAUGUGAUUGUUCGAUAUAACGUCGCUGAAUGAAUGCUUUUAUUUCCUUUCAUUGAUUUCCAAGUGUAAACUUUGAACCACAUGAAAUCGAGGCAUAAUGAAUUACUUCAUCAUGCGGACAAAAAAAAAAGAGAACAUUCUAUUUGAAACUGCAAUUGUAUUGUAAUAUGAAUGCAUACACCGGGAACUAGUGCCGCGAACGAAAGUCGCACUGACUAAACGGAAUUUUUACUGUAAUCUUGUAAUCUUAAUAUUUCCACUUAAUCACAGUGCAAUAUUUUACAUACUCGUAAAACAUUUUUUAUAGUAUCGUUCUAAUUAAUAUAGAGUUAUGAAGCAACUUGAGUUUCACCUGUUGUUACGUCGGAUAUUAAUAUGUACAUAUAUUCUCGUAAGGCAAGGGAAAAGUCAGUGCAUUCAGUGUAAUCAGACGGGCCUGUCUGUGUUGGGUCAACCGCUGACAAUCACGUGUUCAAUUAUCGCCCCAGUUGAGGACCUGAUCAGUGUCCGAAUAUACAAAGAUCAAACAAAUUUGUUGUUUGUACCAAUCGAUUACGCUGUCCCAAAACCAAACGUAACGUUUUUCGAACCUGACGCUGGUAAACGUUUAAACGUUGUCGUAAAAGAUACGUCGGAGACCAGCCGAUCCGUUUCCGUCGUGUUUGGUAACCUUGAAUGCCAGGACAACGGGACGUAUGAGUGGGUAUUGCGUGUAUCGUCAAGGAAAGUGCUGGACGUGACACAGCAACAACACGUUAUUGUAAAAGUAUACCCACAAUUCAACUCGUUCGACAUAUUUCCAAUAACAAUAAUGCCGGACUCGAAUCUCUAUCAAGGUGAUGUCGUGACAUUAUAUGCAUGGGGGACGUUGGCAACAACCCAGUCGGGACACUUGGUUGGUAUUUCUAUAUUCAAGGUGACGGGACCUCUGUCCAAAACUUUACCAGCCUAGCGACCCCUGGUAGUGUUCAUUCCAACAAGACAUGUUCGAUGACGGCAGUGUCCAUGCUGACAUUUAAGAUAACGGAACAGAUGCGAGAAUUCGUCGUGAGAUGCACCGUAACCCAAGGCGCCCCGUUCACCAUGACUGGAUUGGGAUAUAAAGAAACACCGGUUUUGAAAGUGAAAGAAAGGCGCGCAAUGGAAAAGUGGAGUCCAGCACUUCAACGGGGCUGACAAUAGUUAUUACGCUGCUUGUUAUCGGUGUACUUGUUAUUGUAACCAUACAAUUCCUCAGGAGACAUUACAACUUCCAGUUUUCACGGAAAGAUGCAGGGAACCAUGCGGAGGUUGCGAAUGUCAGCGUUACUUCCGUAGCAGACGGUGGCUAUUUGACAAAUAUUUAAUCUAGCGAAGCAGAAGUUGCAUCAUCUACAUAUUAUAGUGAGCCGACGGUGGUCCCUUUGCAGACAUCGAGUGCACAUUCUGUUAGUCAUCAAUCGAUGUCUGAAUACACGUGGCAAGAAAGUCUGUAAAGAAAAACGUUUUAUAAACUAUGCAAAACGUCAAUAUGUGUUACCCUCAGCUGCAUUCUCAAUCUCUGUUGUACCUGUAGCAUGAUAAAUUACUUCCUUGUUAAUUUUCUUUGAUUUACUGCAACAUAUAUGAAUGCAGUCAAUACGAAUUUACCUUAAUUGGAAUUAAUAACCAAAGUAUACAAAAGCGACAAAAAAGAAGGAACUGGAAUUUUGAAAUUAACUGUUCUAAUGUUCUCUGUUUAAUCCCAUUUAAUUGUUUUAAAAUAUUUAUUACACACAAACUCCGCUCUUUCUGCGCAUGCGCUUUAAAUGAUACAGUUACAAAUCAAUUUUCCGAGGGCUGAUUUAUUCUGAUAAUGUACUGCCAUAUCCAUCUGCAUCGAUUAAGUUACUAUUCAUACGCAUCUGUAAUGCGGUACAACUUUACAAUCAUGUCACGGAUAUAAAUAUUCAUCAACAACAGCUACAGCUGCAACCAUCCAUAUGGAGUGUCAAACGUUGCACAACUAAAACUUUCCAUAUGUAUGCUGUUAAUGUGUAUAUACAUGUUCUAUAUUUCCAUGUCUGUGUAUAAAAAAGAUAAAUAUAUAUUUGAUAAAGUAGUGCUGUUAUGUUACGUAUGUUCAUAUUUAUAUUGUACUAAAUGUUAUGUUGUAUCUUUACUUUUACUUAUGGAUAUUUAAACAAAAUUAUUUACAUACAGUAGUAAAAUAGCAACGUUAUGUAAUAAAAACGUUUUUAUUGUGUUUCAAACUUUCAUAUUUGUGUGCUAUAUUUACAUAUUAAUAAGGUAAAAUUAUUGUUCUAUAAUUUGCAUCCUGUGGUAUAUUUAAAACGAUGUCAAGUUAAUGUUGUCGCUUUGUUAUGGUGAUCCGUUAAUUUCACUCUUUUUUUCUCAUUUUCGACUUCUAGAUAACGAGGAAACUCGAUAUUUUGUUAUAACUGAUGUACAACGAUGUAUUUAACCGAUUAUGUAUGUUUAUACUUAUAUUAAAAAUAAUGUGUUGUACGUUUGUAUUUCAUAAUGUUAACAAAGUUUAUCUUUUGUAAUUUUUUAGUUCGGUAAGUAAAUCAGAUGAAAUAAAAAAGUUAUUAAUAGGAAAAACACAAAGAAAUGCAACACAUUCAUUUUCAAUACGUAAUUUACUUUAUUAGCAAAACAUAAACAUAUUUGAGUAUUAAGGUACUGACUAUAUUUAAACCCGUGCAAUAAAACUAACAUGUUUUGCAGAACUAGAACAGGCAUCACACAAAUAUUGAUAACAACUCGUGCAUAGGGUCAUUAUUCAAAGUUUGUUCCAAAUAACAUAUAACAUAAUGGUACGUUUUUUUUCUUAAAUCAAUAACAAAUGAACAAUUCUUACUAUAAUGAAAUAUAUCCAACGACAUAAGUCGAAUGAGAAAGAACAAUCGCGAAAGUGUAAAAGCACGGGUGAAACUGUUUUGCUAAAAUGCGAUCAUGUGAACCCUUUCUUAAAGCGGGUAUAUACGAUUUUGUCAACUAUUUAUGAAUUUAUAUAAACUGUGUAAAAAGCUUUAUAUAUAUAUAUUUCAAUAUAAAUUAAAAUAAAAGUUAAGAAGAACAUGUGUCGAAAAAUGCGAAAUAAGCCAGAUUUUUAAUUCUGAAAUUGAAAACGGCUGUACAGCCGAAUUCGCCAGCAUGUAUACCAUAAAUGUACGAUGCGCAUCUAAACUUACGUAGUUUAACGGUUUAUAAUACAAAGACGGAUGCUUCG